GCCACCGCAGGGAAUCCCGGAACGCGGGGACCCGAGAGCCACCGCCUGGCCGAUUGCACAGCGGGCAGGGCUGGCCCUGGCGGAGUGGCAGGGAGACGUGACAGGCAGGUGUCCUUGGCCGGCCAGGUCCCCCUCCCUCGGCACAGGCAGCGCACGUUCCGCGGCCGCCGAGCCUGUCCCUCUGGUCCGCGCGGCGCUGCGCCCCCCCCACACCGGCGCCUCCCUGCGCCGCGGGCGAGGCGCCCACACCCUGGCCACGGUGCCCGGCCGAGGAUCGGGGCGACACAAAGGCGGCCAUUUACAGGCUGCUGUGCAGGAGGGACAGCCCAGCAUUGACACUGCGCCUGGGGACCUUCUACCCCGGACAGCCGGGCCCUCCCCGCGGGGAUGCCGAGGAAGCCGAGGACCGCGGUGCCCGGAGACGUGCGAGCCGGUCGGUAGCACAGGACAUUCGCCAGAGGGGGCCUGGCCAAGACGGGCCUUGGCCUGAGUCGCCGAGGGCUCCACAAAGAGGCUCCGGCCCUUCGGAGGCCGCUCUGCUGAGGCCCCUCCAGGGCUUCCUGCCAUCCCUGCGCUGCUGGAUAAGAAAGCCUCACUGUUAGAGGCGACCAGACGGAGUCUGUGUUCCCCGCAGCCUGCGGGACCCCGUCACCCGCGGGGAGUGCGCUUCACGGUUUACAUGGUAACCUCCAAGGCCCUCCCAGGCCUCCUCUGACCACAGCAACCCCUUGAAUGCCAGGCAUGGAGCACACGCCUAUAAUCUCAGCGGUUCAGGAGGCCGAGGCAGGAGGAUUGCCAGUUUGAGGCCAGCCUGAGCGAUUUAAGGAGACCCUCAGCAUCUUAGUAAGUCCCUGUCUCAAAUUAUAAAGGACUGGAGUUGUAGCUCAUGAUAGAGUGGUAGCUCAUGAUAGAGUGCCUCUGAGUUCCAUCCCCACUUCCAAAGCAAAAGCAAGCAAACAAACAAAACCCACAGAACAAAAAUAAAACUGCAAGGGAGAAUUUCCUAUCUUCAUAUUAUAGAUGAAGAAACUGAUGUUCAGAGAGGAUACAAGUCCACUGGCAGGGGCUGGGGAUGUGGCUCAAGCGUAGGGUGCUCUCCUGGCAUGCAUACGGCCCAGGUUCGAUCCUCAGCACCACAUACAAAGAAAGAUGUUGUGUCUGCUGAAAACUAAAAAAUAAAUAUUAAAAAUUCUCUCUCUCUCUCUCUCUUAAAAAAAAAAAAGUCCACUGGCAGGAUAGGAACCAGAAAUUCAGAGCAGAGGACCAUGGACAAACGGGAUACAGAGUUAAAUAACACAAUCUUUGUUCUCACCACUCACAUGUCCUAAAGGGUGUCAGAUGUAUCUGAUUUGGAAAUGGGACUGUUAUGGUUCUCACUUGAAAGAACAAGCACAGAGAUGUGAAGUAAUGCAACCAAGGUCACACAGCUCAGUGGUGGCAGAGCCAGCAUUUGAACUCAGUGAGCUCCCCACUCCAUGCUAUUUACUUCUACACAACCCACAGCCAGAGGUGUGGGCAGGUGGGACUGGCACUGCCAGGUCAUUGACAGGAGAGCUGGGCUCCUCUUCAACACAGGGCCGACAUCAGACCCAGGACCUCGCCGAGCCUGCUAGGCAAGGACUCUACCACUGAGCCAUGCGCCCAACCCCAUUAUGUUUUUUAUAUUGAUUAAUGUUGACAUGACAAUAUUUCUCAUGUGUCAGGUUAAAUAAAAUAUAUUAUUAAAAUUUA